GCGGGACCGGGCCGGCGAGAAGCCGCUCUACUACGGCUGGUGCGGCGGCAGCUUCCUGUUCAGUUCCGAGCUGAAGGCCCUGCGCC
rnacentral:tRNA from 1 species